AUUGAACGCUGGCGGCAUGCCUUACACAUGCAAGUCGAACGGUAACAGGUCUUCGGAUGCUGACGAGUGGCGAACGGGUGAGUAAUACAUCGGAACGUGCCCGAGAGUGGGGGAUAACGAGGCGAAAGCUUUGCUAAUACAGCAUACGAUCUCAGGAUGAAAGCAGGGGACCGCAAGGCCUUGCGCUCACGGAGCGGCCGAUGGCAGAUUGGGUAGUUGGUGGGAUAAAAGCUUACCAAGCCGACGAUCUGUAGCUGGUCUGUGAGGACGACCAGCCAGACUGGGACGGAGAAACGGCCCAGACUCCUACGGGAGGCAGCAGUGGGGAAUUUUGGACAAUGGGCGCAAGACUGAUCCAGCCAUGCCGCGUGCAGGAUGAAGGCCUUCGGGUUGUAAACUGCUUUUGUACGGAACGAAAAGACUCUGGUUAAUACCUGGGGUCCAUGACGGUACCGUAAGAAUAAGCACCGGCUAACUACGUGCCAGCCGCCGCGGUAAGAC
rnacentral:rRNA from 1 species